rnacentral:rRNA from 1 species
AUACGUAGGGAGCGAGCGUUGUCCGGAAUUACUGGGUGUAAAGGGUGCGUAGGCGGGACUGCAAGUCAGAUGUGAAAUGCCGGGGCUCAACACCGGAGCUGCAUUUGAAACUGUGGUUCUUGAGUGUGGUAGAGGUAAGUGGAAUUCCUAGUGUAGCGGUGAAAUGCGUAGAUAUUAGGAGGAACAUCGGUGGCGAAGGCGGCUUACUGGGCCUUUACUGUCGCUGACGCACGAAAGCGUGGGGAGCAAACAGGAUUAGAUACCCUGUUAGUCCACUCUGUAAACGCUGAUGACUAGGUGUGGGGGGACUGAACCCUUCCGUGCCGCAGUUAACAAAAUAAGUCAUCCACCUGGGGAGUACGGCCGCAAGGUUGAAACUUAAAGGAAUUGACGGG